rnacentral:lncRNA from 1 species
GUUGUAGUCCACAGCUUGCAGGAGCUUCUCAUCAUUCUUGGUCCAGUCCUGACUCGCAAAGGAGGCAGCGGCACAGAGGCAGAUCUGCUUCAUGGUGUUGAGGAGGAGGCGGCGGGCAGCCAUGCAUCCUUUGCCUCCCUGCCUGGGCGUGGGCUGGCCGGGGCUCCAGGUUACGGACCCCAGACCACGGGUCGGUCCGGUACCGCCGCCCGGGCGGGGGCCGAG